UUAUAUACCUUUUCAUCACUAGGGCCGAAUUAGUUCACGUGCGAAUAACCAGCGGUACCGCCAGUAUUCGCGCGACGUUUGUAUGGUAACACAAACAACUUUUGCAUCAAGUGAAGGCUUUAUCAUUACAAAUGCGGGAAAAGGGAUGAUCUGAUGUUUGGGAAUUGUUUUGGUAACGAUGCCAAGAUGGAUUUGGGUACCUUUGAUUGAAUAACAAUGCCAGACGGCCAUUUGCUUUUACGAUUGGGCUGGUAUAUGGAGGAAAUUCGGUUCAUCACUUCUUACCAAUCCUGGAUCCAUUGGAAUAGAAAAGUCACGACGGAUACAAAUCACAGAUCUCGAUCCACAUCACGAAUAUUCACAAUUAUCAUAAAGUUCACAAAGUUAUACGAUAUAGUCCUUUGAAAUAUCCAAAAGAUCUAGUGCACGUACGGUCCAUUUAUUACGAAUCCAGUGACAUUGGGAAAUGUCCAGGAUCAAUGUCCGGAAGUACAUCAUACGGUUUGGAAGGCUUCCUCACGGCAAGGUACAUGUAGCAUUGAAUUUGAUGCCGGCAAGGAAUUGUGACUUGGGACAUCCGGGUGGUCAUGAGAAUUUACAUGAACUUUGGGUGAAACCGGGUGUGGUUUAAAAGUAAUUUCAAAGCUUUCAUCAGCCUCCAUUGUACAAAAAUUUGUAUCCAAAAGUAA